GAUCCAUCCUCUCUUAGAAACUCACCUUCAAAACAUAAGAACCCUACAGAGAGUAGAAGGCGUUCUUUUGAGCUUUCAUCAAUGGCAGAUUGGAAUCGAGAUCAAGCUGAACAACCGCUCAAGGAGAAGGAGGGGAGGGCAAGAACCCGCCGCAGCGCACAACGCACGAGCUUCAACAAUACUGGGAAUAGAAUCUUCUCAGAAGCUAGCACAGGGUCUGGGAUAUCCGGAUACGGGAAUGGAGAUUCGGGUGCAGACUUCAACAAUGAUGACAAUUUAAUUGUUUCAAUCGGAAGCACUAGUUGUGGGAUUACCGGCUUUGGCAACAUAAACCACAAAAAGUCGACCAUCUUAUUUCUUCUUCUUCUUGUUCUUCUUCUUUUACUCCUUUUAUAUAAAUUAAAGGUGAGUAAGCAAAACUAAAUAAGAUGAAGCAAGCGGCUCGAGUGAAAAAGAAGGCACGACCAGGAAGAAAAAAAGA